rnacentral:rRNA from 1 species
CGCGUAGGCGGGAUUACAAGUCAGGUGUGAAAUUUAUGGGCUCAACCCAUAAACUGCAUUUGAAACUGUAGUUCUUGAGUGAUGGAGAGGCAGGCGGAAUUCCUAGUGUAGCGGUGAAAUGCGUAGAUAUUAGGAGGAACACCAGUGGCGAAGGCGGCCUGCUGGACAUUAACUGACGCUGAUGCGCGAAAGCGUGGGGAGCAAACA